UGUUACUUCAAGUUCUUGCAUUAUCAUUUUUGAAUAGCAUUGCACUUAAGCUGAUCUAUUUUUCUUUCCUUCAGUAAAGAAGAAAUUGUUAAUGGUGUUUAUUACUGUAUCAGGUGAAUAUGUAUGGUUUUAUGCUGCCUUGACCCAUCUUAUCAUGUGUGAAUAUGACUUCCUGUAGAAACCUGAGCUUAAAAACAAAGCAUAAAUUCAUCACCCUUGGCCAAAGAGUUCAUAUUCAGAAAGGCAUUUUGGGGGCAAUUAACGCUUCUCCCUGCCAUUACGCACUUGGAUCUCAAGCAUGUACCACAUGCUUUCCUGACCUGGGACCUCUGUCAGCACAUAAAUA